UGGGGAAUAUUGGACAAUGGGCGCAAGCCUGAUCCAGCCAUACCGCUGUGUGUGAAGAAGGCCUUCGGGUUGUAAAGCACUUUAAGCAGGGAGAAAAAGUUAUAAGUUAAUACCUUAUAGCCGUGAUGUUACCUGCAGAAAUAAAGCCACCGGCUAAUUCCGU
rnacentral:rRNA from 1 species